rnacentral:rRNA from 1 species
GAUUGCACAAUGGAUGAAACUCUGAUUCAGCAACCCCGCGUCAGUGAUGAAUGAGUACGAGCUGUAAAACUCUGUCCUAGGAGACGAUGAUGACGGUACCCUAGGAGAAAGCCUUGUCUAACUACGUGACAUCAGCCGCGGUAAUAUGGAGGGGGCGAGCUUUGGCCGGAAUUAUUGGGCGUAAAGGGUUCGCAGGCGGCCUUUUCAGUCAGAUGUGAAAGAUUACGGCUCAACCGUGGUAAGCAGUUGAAACUGGGAGGCUUGAGUUAAGGAGAGGAAAGUGAAAUUUCUAGUGUCGGGGUGAAAUGCGUAGAUAUUAGGAGGCAUACCAGUGGCGAAGGCGACUUUAUGCACUUAUACUGACGCUGAGGAACGAAAGCGUGGGGAGCAAACA